ACCCGCUGAACUUAAGCAUAUCAAUAAGCGGAGGAAAAGAAACUAACAAGGAUUCCCCUAGUAACUGCGAGUGAAGCGGGAAAAGCUCAAAUUUGAAAUCUGGCAGUCUUUGAUUGUCCGAGUUGUAAUCUAGAGAAGUGUUACCCGCGCUGGACCGUGUACAAGUCUCCUGGAAUGGAGCGUCAUAGAGGGUGAGUAUCCCGUCUUUGACACGGACUGCCAGGGCUUUGUGGUGCGCUCUCAAAGAGUCGAGUUGUUUGGGAAUGCAGCUCAAAAUGGGUGGUAAAUGCCAUCUAAAGCUAAAUACAGGCGAGAGACCGAUAGCGAACAAGUACCGUGAGGGAAAGAUGAAAAGAACUUUGGAAAGAGAGUUAAACAGUACGUGAAAUUGCUGAAAGGGAAACGCUUGAAGUCAGUCACGUUGGCUAGGAAUCAACCUUGCUUUUGCUGGGUGUACUUUCUGGUUGACGGGUCAGCAUCAGUUUUGACCAGUGGAUAAAGGCAUGAGAAAUGUGGCUUCUUCGGAAGUGUUAUAGUCUUGUGUUGUAUACAUUGGUUGGGACUGAGGAACUCAGCACGCCGCAAGGCCGGGGUUCGCCCACGUUCGUGCUUAGGAUGCUGGCAUAAUGGCUUUAAUCGACCCGUCUUGAAACACGG
rnacentral:rRNA from 1 species